rnacentral:rRNA from 1 species
CUACGGGGGGCUGCAGUCGAGAAUCUUCCGCAAUGGACGAAAGUCUGACGGAGCGACGCCGCGUGGUCGAUGAAGUCCUUAGGGACGUAAAGACCUUUUAUGAGGGAGGAAGUUUAUUGACGUUACCUCAUGAAUAAGGGGCUCCCAACUCUGUGCCAGCAGGAGCGGUAAUACAGAGGCCCCAAGCAUUAUCCGGAUUUACUGGACGUAAAGGGUGCGUAGGCGGCGUGAUUAGUCAGAUGUUAAAUCCUGGGGCUCAACCCCAGACUCGCAUUUGAAACGGUCAUGCUAGAAGAAGUCAGAGGUAAGCAGAACUCUCGGUGUAGGGGUGAAAUCCGUUGAUAUCGAGGGGAAUACCAAAUGCGAGGGCAGCUUACUGGGACUUUCUUGACGCUGAGGCACGAAAGCGUGGGUAGCGAAUCGGAUUAGAUACCCCAGUAGUC